ACAUAUUCUAGUCUCACCUGUAAAAGUCUUGUAAUUUAUAGUGCAGUGAAAUUGUUAUAUUAGUGUUGAAUGUUAACAGCAUUCCAGUAGCGGCGAAAUGUGUCAGGGAGUUGGUCCCAACAAUUCACCAUCCAAACUAAACGCAAAGGACCGCGCUCAACAUCAAAAGAGGUCGUUUGGUUGGUGGUGCAUGGAGUGUCACAAAUAGUGAACCUCCAAGUUGGCAAAGCGCGCCAACCCGAGAAUUCUGUAGAGCGCAAUGGCGGAGGCCAUCCGGUGAGUUCAUUGUUUAACCACUAGACACGAAAGCACAAGUACUAAAACAAA